rnacentral:rRNA from 1 species
AUUGAACGCUGGCGGCAGGCUUAACACAUGCAAGUCGGGCGGCAGCACAGAGAUUGUUGCUUCUUGCGGGGCGGGAGGCGAGCGGGAGGGCUAGAUAUCGGAACGGACGGAGGAAAUGGGGUUAGCUAACGGGAAGUUAUGCCAAAUCCGCAUAGUGGGUGAGGGGGAAAGCAGGUGACCCUCCGGGCUUUCGGUUGUCGAGAGGCCGAUAUCUGAUUAGCUAGUUGGUGGGGUAAAGGCCUACCAAGGCGACGAUCCGUAACGGGUCUGAGAGGAUGAUCCGGCACACUGGAACUGAGACACGGCCCAGACUCCUACGGGAGGCAGCAGUGGGGAAUUUUGGACAAUGGGCGCAAGCCUGAUCCAGCCAUGCCGCGUGUCUGAAGAAGGCCUUCGGAUUGUAAAGCACUUUUGUCAGGGAGGAAGAGCAUGUUGCUAAUACCGACCGCUGAUGACGGUACCUGCAGAAUAAGCACCGGCUAACUACGUG